UCAGGACGAACGCUGGCGGCGUGCCUAAUACAUGCAAGUCGAACGGCUUUUCUAUGGAAGCUUGCUUCCACUGAGAAGAUAGUGGCGAACGGGUGAGUAACACGUGGGUAACCUGCCCAUAAGAGGGGGAUAACAUCCGGAAACGGGUGCUAAUACCGCAUAGUUUUCUUGAUCGCAUGAUCGGGAAGGAAAGACGGCCUUUGUGCUGUCGCUUAUGGAUGGACCCGCGGCGUAUUAGUUAGUUGGUGAGGUAACGGCUCACCAAGACGAUGAUACGUAGCCGACCUGAGAGGGUGAUCGGCCACAUUGGGACUGAGACACGGCCCAAACUCCUACGGGAGGCAGCAGUAGGGAAUCUUCCGCAAUGGACGAAAGUCUGACGGAGCAACGCCGCGUGAGUGAAGAAAAGGUUUUCGGAUCGUAAAACUCUGUUGUCAGAGAAGAACAAGUUGGAGAGUAACUGCUCCAGCCUUGACGGUAUCUGACCAGAAAGCCACGGCUAACUACGUGCCAGCCGCUGC
rnacentral:rRNA from 1 species